UAUUACGCUAACCAAUAAGAUCCUUUCUCUUUAGUGUAAACGGAAGAGAACAGUAACCAAGAACAAUUUCCACGUUAGCGUUUUUACUGUUGUUAUUUAGACCUGUAUUAACACCCUGGAACUCAAAAUAUGAUUAAUAAUUUCCCCAGGUAAUGUUUGAUUCGCGUUGGAAAUAGGACUUGGUGGAUAGAUGUUAUCUAGGUAACGCUAGCUAGUAGCUGUUAACAAUGGCUAACUGUAUGGUUUUUCACACCCAAUUAGCCUCCAUCAUGGAGGUGCUAGCGAAUUCAGCCGUUGCAGAGAUCUGUAAACUCGUAGACGACGACUAUGCAGUGUUUCGUUUGGAAAUAACUCAAAGCCAGAAAGAAAACAGGUCAUUGCGGAGAAAACUGCAGCUACUGGAAAUUAAGGUGGCACGGGAUCGCGCAGAGAGGACAAUGCGAGAGCGCGUUCUCGCCAGUCGUCCCAGUAGUGACAAGUCCCUCGACCGAUACAGAGGAAUGGCAAGAGGUGAAGGACAUCUUACUGGAGGCCACAAGAGCUUUGUGAAGCCAGCGGAACACAACGCAUGUAGAGAUGGCCAACCCAUAGCUAUAGAUGAGGGGAGUGGAUCCUCAACCCAGCAUGUUAUCGUGAUAGAGUCAGCAGAGGCUGCAGGACCUGGGGUCAAGCAGGAGAAGACUGAAGGAGAGGAGAACUCAAGACACAGCAGAGACAUCCAGACUGGCACAGCAGCAGGAGUGGCGCUCCCUGUAGCCACGGAGGACCUCACCACCUCUGUCGCACCGCAGGUCAGGACCCGACACAGCAUCAUGGAGGUGGAGGAGGGUCCAGAGGUGCUGCGGGUGAAGGAGGAGGGGUGUGAGGAGGGUCUGGGGAACCCUGUGGGGACCAUGGUCAUGGAGGACAGACUACACCUCCUUCUGAACCCACAGAGGAACCAGCUGAGCAGCACAGUCUCACUGAGUCAGUAGACAUGGAGGAUGGGAAGAUUGAUCUGCUGCUGGUCAAAGAGGAGACGAUAGAAGAUGAACCAGAGGGCAUUGACCUGCUGAGUGGACUAAAGAUGGGGGAGCAAGAGUUCUCUAAUGGUGGUUGGCUGGAGGCUAAAAGAGGAGACUGGGCGGCCAUCUUGGAUUCCCAGACCCAGAUGGGUGCAGCCAAGGGCCUGGGGGAGGACAUCACUGAGCAUGCCAGGACCAGAAGCGACAUAGUGGGAGUCAGUGGAUAAGACAGCGUCCUCAACUCUGGUCUGGGUAUCAACACCACAACCAGAAACAGUCGAACACAAAACAACAACUGAACUUAGUCUCCAUGACAAAAGACGGGCUGAGUACCAGGGCGAGGAGUAGAUUUGGUCUGCGGGACGGGGAGGUGUCCGUAUGCAGGGGGAGAGAACAGAUACUGACUUGGCUAAAGAUGCUCCAUCCUGCUCCUAAUAGUUGUGAUUCAGAGAGACUGGUGGCGCCUCAGGUUAACCCACUAAACGGUGCUGCCUUCAGCCUGCCGCCUUAAGGAUCCAUCAACUGGAACAUGGCCCCUGCGACAAUACAGACAUUCACUGGCCUUUGUCCUCCUCACACUCUCCUAAUGUUAAACCAGACCUCAGACAAUGCCAGUGCCUCAACACCAAUUUGUUACACAAAUUACAGUAGUAGUAAUGCUAUCAGUAGAUCCGGUGGCAAAGAGAAGCGCUUCCCAUGUUCAUUCUGUGAGAAAGCCUUCAGUUUCACCAAACAGGUGGAGAUGUACCAGAGGAUGCACACGGGGGAGAAAUCAUUCUGCUGCCAUCUGUGCAGGGCCAAUUCCUCCCACUUUUCCAACCGGAAGAGGCACCAGACAGUCCACACAGGGGAGAAAUCCUACAGUGUGAAAACAGGUUCUCCCACCAGCUGAAGAUGAACCUGGAGAGAGGCCGUUCAUCUGAACGCACUGCGGGAAGGGGUUCUCAGAGAGGAGAUACCUCAGGAUACACCAGCAGAAAAGCCCAUGUAUAACGUUAGUUCCAUAAAGUUUUCAGUCACUGCCAUGGAUUUCAGUCAUAUGGAUUCUGGUUUAGAGAUGACAUAGCCUAAUACAGCAUGUCUGUUCUACGAAAUAUAUUCCCAAACAUUGUAUUUUCUCUGUUAAACUGUGUGCACUGAACUGACAUGCAGGAUUGUUGAUGACACGUCAAUGUUCAGAUGGAAGGGAUGAAAUGGUCUGUAAAGGGCACCUCAGCAGCGCUCUCAACUCAGACAGUGGUGUGUAGCUUACUGUAGCUGCUGGCAAAGUAAUUCAAAGCCUCUAAUUUAUCACUCAGGAUGUUACUUUCCAGUGCUACUAUUUUUUUCCAUGUAAUGUUAUUAUUAAAACAAAAUAAGACAGCCCAAUAGUAGAAUAGUGUUCAGUGCUUACUUUGUAAAUUGGGAGGUACCAGAACAAAGUGAGCCCGAGAGGGGGGUGACCUGGGGAGUUCUAAGGUACCAGAAUACAUGAGAAAAAAGCAGGAGAGUAGAAGCACUUAGAAGUUGCACACACGGGGAACAUUUUUAGUAGACUAGGGUCCAAGAAAAUGUUGGCCUUUUAUAAACGCAUCUCAUGCAAUUCUAGGUCAUUUACAUGACUGGAGACUUUGGCAGAAUCUUUUUUUUUUUACAUUUUAAAAAUUCUGCACAAAUUAUCUAAAUGGCAGGUUACUUUCUCACGUUCAAACCGAGAAUCUGAGAUCAAUAAAAAACCACCGUGUCUUGAAUCCAUCAAUAGUCUAGGUGUGUAUAUAGGCUCGCUGGUGAUUGUCGAUGCGCUCAUGCCAAAAGCCUCUCUCUCUUUUUGUAAAACAAUAUUUGGAAGUUGAUCAAAUAUUUUGGUAGCAUACAGAAAAGUCU